rnacentral:rRNA from 1 species
AACGGACGCUGGCGGCGUGCCUAACACAUGCAAGUCGAACGGGAAAACCCGCAAGGGUGAGUACAGUGGCGCACGGGUGCGUAACACGUGGGUAAUCUGCCCAGAAGCCCGGAAUAACUCCCCGAAAGGGGUGCUAAUGCCGGAUGAGACCACGGGGACUUCGGUUCCUGGGGGAAAAGGUGGCCUCUGUAUACAAGCUAUCACUUCUGGAUGAGCCCGCGGCCCAUCAGCUAGUUGGCGGGGUAAUGGCCCACCAAGGCUACGACGGGUAGCUGGUCUGAGAGGACGAUAAGCCACACUGGAACGGGGACACGGUCCAGACUCCUACGGGAGGCAGCAGUGGGGAAUCUUGCGCAAUGGGCGAAAGCCUGACGCAGCAACGCCGCGUGUGUGAUGAAGGUCUUCGGAUCGUAAAGCACUGUCGGGAGGGACGAAUAAGGGCCGGGUGAACAAUCCGGUUCGACGACGGUACCUCCAGAGGAAGCACCGGCUAACUCUGUGCCAGCCGCCGCAGUAACAC